rnacentral:rRNA from 1 species
UACGGAGGGUGCGAGCGUUGUCCGGAAUCACUGGGCGUAAAGGGCGCGUAGGUGGCCGAGCAAGGUCGCGGUGAAAGCCCGGGGCUCAACCCCGGGUCGGCCGUGGCAACUACUGGGCUGGAGCACUGUAGGGGCGGGUGGAAUUCCGGGUGUAGCGGUGGAAUGCGUAGAGAUCCGGAAGAACACCAGUGGCGAAGGCGGUCUGCUGGGCAGUUGCUGACACUGAGGCGCGACAGCGUGGGGAGCAAACAGG